GAGAAGGUGGCUGAAAUUAGGUAUUAUACUGUAAAUAUAACUAUGAGGUUCCAACCUCUCUUCUCA
rnacentral:tRNA from 1 species